AAGGAGUCAUAGUAGCACUAAUCAGGAGGUCCAGAAGGAGUCAUAGUACCACUAAUCAGGAGGUCCAGAAGGAGUCAUAGUACCACUAAUCAGGAGGUCUAGAAGGAGCCAUAGUACCACUAAUCAGGAGGUCCAGAAGGAGUCAUAGUAGCACUAAUCAGGAGGUCUAGAAGGAGUCAUAGUACCACUAAUCAGGAGGUCCAGAAGGAGUCAUAGUACCACUAAUCAGGAGGUCCAGAAGGAGUCAUAGUACCACUAAUCAGGAGGUCUAGAAGGAGUCAUAGUACCACUAAUCAGGAGGUCCAGAAGGAGUCAUAGUACCACUAAUCAGGAGGUCUAGAAGGAGUCAUAGUACCACUAAUCAGGAGGUCUAGAAGGAGUCAUAGUUCCACUAAUCAGGAGGUCUAGAAGGAGCCAUAGUACCACUAAUCAGGAGGUCCAGAAGGAGUCAUAGUAGCACUAAUCAGGAGGUCUAGAAGGAGUCAUAGUACCACUAAUCAGGAGGUCCAGAAGGAGUCAUAGUACCACUAAUCAGGAGGUCUAGAAGGAGUCAUAGUACCACUAAUCAGGAGGUCCAGAAGGAGUCAUAGUACCACUAAUCAGGAGGUCCAGAAGGAGUCAUAGUACCACUAAUCAGGAGGUCUAGAAGGAGUCAUAGUACCACUAAUCAGGAGGUCUAGAAGGAGUCAUAGUACCACUAAUCAGGAGGUCUAGAAGGAGUCAUAGUAGCACUAAUCAGGAGGUCCAGAAGGAGUCAUAGUACCACUAAUCAGGAGGUCCAGAAGGAGUCAUAGUACCACUAAUCAGGAGGUCUAGAAGGAGUCAUAGUUCCACUAAUCAGGAGGUCUAGAAGGAGUCAUAGUAGCACUAAUCAGGAGGUCUAGAAGGAGUCAUAGUUCCACUAAUCAGGAGGUCUAGAAGGAGUCAUAGUAGCACUAAUCAGGAGGUCUAGAAGGAGUCAUGGUUCCACUAAUCAGGAGGUCUAGAAGGAGUCAUGGUUCCACUAAUCAGGAGGUCUAGAAGGAGUCAUGGUUCCACUAAUCAGGAGGUCUAGAAGGAGUCAUGGUUCCACUAAUCAGGAGGUCUAGAAGGAGUCAUAGUUCCACUAAUCAGGAGGUCUAGAAGGAGUCAUAGUACCACUAAUCAGGAGGUCCAGAAGGAGUCAUAGUUCCACUAAUCAGGAGGUCCAGAAGGAGUCAUAGUUCCACUAAUCAGAGCUCCUAAAAUGACUCCACAGACAGUGAACUACUUUCUCCAUCCAGCUGUUAAACCAGACAUCAGCUGCUUCAGACUUGGUUCAGGGGUUCUCCAUGGAAACCAGACUUAGUGUGAAGCUCAGACAGUGUGAAGGAACCUUCAGAACAUCAACCUCUAUGGACGGAGGACCAGAACUAAACCUGGUUGCUGCUCAGAAGUAAACUUCCAGAUGAAAGUUUGCUGAAGAACACGAGAAGAAGCCUGAUGGAUGUUGGAGAACAUUCUUUGGUCAGAUGAAGAUCAAUGAGUUAGGCUCAGAUGGAGUCCAGAUGUUUGGUGAGAACCUGACCAGGACUACCACAGUGGAUGCAUGGUCCUGACAGUGAAGCACGGAGGUAGAAGUGUGAUGAUCUGAGGCUGUUUAUUGAUGACAUUUGUAGAUGCAGCAUGAAUGUCUGAGGAGGAACCAGAAUCCUGUCUGACCAGAUGAAGAAGAGGAAGAUUCCAGUAGGAGAACAUCCAGAGAACAACACACCAGAACCAAGUGGAACCAGGACCUGGACAGUGAUGUCCUGAAGCUAGCAGAACCUUUGUGGUGUUCUCCAGAGAAAGGCAGAGCAGCACAACUCCUCCAGCACAGAGCAAAAUGUGGUAUCUUUUCAUUUUUGUGGCAUCAUGUUUCUUCAGGCAGGUUUUUAAAAGCCUACUUUCUGCCUCAUCUCCAUUCCCAGUCAUAAACAGCCUCAGGUUGCUGUUCAGUGUCCCUCAGUGGAAAACAAAGAGAAGCGGUCAAACCGUCGCCUGAAGGCCUCGGCAGGCUUCAACCAGCAGCUCGUCUGUUACAGUGUAAACACACGGAAUAACUGCUGGCUUCGCUUCAGACGGGAAACGUGUUGUUGCUGUGCAGAGGAAAUGUUUGGUAAAUGUUGCUGCUCCCCAGGAGACGAGUCGUCAAUGUGAACAUGAAAAAAGAAGGAAUGUAAACAGAGGGACGUAGCACGAGGUGCUUCAACCUGAAGCUCUAUCAGCUGCUUUAAAAAUGACAGGAUUUAUCAGAGCAACAAUCACAGAAGCUGAAAAUAAUCACCGGAUGUCCAACCUUUAGAGUUCUUCAACUAAUGUUGUUCUGAUCAGAAAAUGACCAAAACUUCAAGUUGAAUAUUCCAUCAACAUUACUUUAGUCAACAUGUUUCAUUUAAAGAAAUGUGGAAAGGAAAGCCUCUGCUCAAACAAGAUUCUCUAAAAAAACAGAAACUUCUGAGCUCCUCGACACGACCGAAAAACCACAAAAUACUCAUCUGUGACCAACAGUCAGACGUAAACAUUCAGAGUUUGAAGGUUGAACUGCAGGAAGUGUUUCCACAGAGAGACUGAGAGGAAAAUUAAAGAAUAAACAAAUACAGCAUGGCUCAGAAACAGAGGAGUCAAAGUUGUUGGAGAUCCAUCCAUCAUGGUGAAACAUCUUCUACAGACGAUGAGCAGAGUAGAGGAAACGUCUAUAUAAGCUGUAAAAUGUGAAACAUCUGUAGCGUGUAGAGUCACUAUUUUCAGCUCCUUUACACACAGGAAGUCACAUAAUUCAGCUUUUUACGGUGUGAGUUUGUUCUGUUUAGUGUUUAUUCUUCCAUCUUUGGUCUCAUAGCUGCGGAGGAGCUGAAGUUCUGCUGGAGGAGUCAGUCUUCUGGAAACGUUGGAGCUGCUGGUGGCAUUUGGGAAGCGCUGCCAUUUCAAUCAUCAAGGUUUACACGGGAAUAAGUCUGCUGAUGCUGCUGAGUCACCGGCGCUCUUUAAUAUUUCACAUGACAAUUUGUAAGAAAAUGUCAGAGCACAGCGAAGGAGGAGCUCCUCAGAAGCACUCAGAGGAUGUUCUUCAGGUUGAAAGCUCUGGGCGUUAGGACUGGAGUGAUAGGAGGAGAAGAAGCAAGGUUCAAACAUGAAGAUGUGGACAUCGAUGUAAACAUCCCAAUAAGGCUUCAUACCAAACAGCAGAACUGAGUCUACCUCUGUGCAUGGUCACUUAAAUGACUAAUAAUCCAUUUAAUGAAGCUGAACAGAAGAGUUUUUCCUCUUAUAAUUCAGAAAACCCAUCUGUGACCAGUGAAACUAAACUGAGUCCAUCUGUGAUUCCCAAUGAGCUGUGAGCAGCAGAACUUCCUCAGUCCUAGAUCUGUGGACUGGGUCUGUCUACGUCUGCAUCGUGGCUCCACAUGGAAAAGAACCGAACAGAGGAAGAGAAACGUCACAAAGAGUUCAUACACAAGAACAACAUGUACACCAGAAUGUUCAAAAUGACUCAAAACGUGUCCAAAAUCCUUUAAAAUUGAUCAAAGCUGACCCAAAACCUGUCCAGCACUAGCUAAAAACAGCGAGGAAGACUCAAAAUCGAUCUAAAACAACCUAAAAUUAGUCAGAAGGGUUUAAAAAUGUGUCUGAAAUGACUGUGGACUCCCUCAGUGGAUGCAUGGUCCUGACAGUGAGGCAUGGAGGUGGAGGUAUGAUGCUAUGAGGCUGUAUGAGUGUUGGGGAGAUGACAUUUAGAAGAACUAAACCAACCUGACAUUUGUCCAGAAUGAUAAAUUAUUCAACAUAAGUUUGACCCUGGUGUCGUCCUGCAGGUCAAAUUAACCCGUUUUAAAGCUUGAAAAUGUGGAAAAAAUAUAUAUUUUCACAGUGAAAAUUUCCAUACUUUCAACGUUUUUGGAAUUUUUAAAAAAACAUUUUCUGGUGGAAAAAAGAAAUAUUUAAAAAAAUA